rnacentral:rRNA from 1 species
AGCUCCAAUAGCGUAUAUUAAAGUUGUUGCGCACGCUUUGAAUACAUUAGCAUGGAAUAAUAAGAUAGGACCUCAGUUCUAUUUUGUUGGUUUCUAGAGCUGAGGUAAUGGUUGAUAGGGAUAGUUGGGGGCAUUCGUAUUUAACUGUCAGAGGUGAAAUUCUUGGAUUUGUUAAAGACGAACUACUGCGAAAGCAUUUGCCAAGGAUGUUUUCA